ensembl:lncRNA
CUGAAAGCUGCUGAAGAGCUUUGUGUAUGCCUUUCUUCAAUUCCUGCCAGGAUAUCGGCUUUGUGUUCAUCUAAACAGGCCCAGGUUUCACACUGAGAGGACUCGGGCCCAGAGAGCAGCACAGGAGCUGGUAGAGAAGAACAGUUUACAGAUGAUGAGGAGGAGGAGGAAGAGGUCACCCUAGAUCAGCCGACUACCUUUAUGUUUUCCAAACAGCCACAACAUAGUGUUGUGAUGCAGGAGAACCAGACCGCAGCGCAGGAGCUACAGGAGGAGAAACCCUCACAGACAUGGAGGAGGAUGUGGUCGAACAGCCAGGAUAAUUUUACACCAUAGAACAGUUAACCUGGUUCUUGGAGCAGAUUUUAGGACAAGAUGAUGUCGUACUAACAAACUACUUUCCGGAUAGAAAACAAAUCAUAAAAUCUGUGGAGCACACAACAACAGGUGAGAAUCUGGGCUUGCUGUCACCAACGAGACGCUUCAGAUUGGGGAUAUGGGCAUCAGAGGCAGGGUUUAAGGAGGUGAAUGAAGCAGGAUCAGGUAACCCACCUACUUCAAACUUUUCAGAACAACCUGAAGAACUGUACACCACAGAACAGUUAAACUGUUUUCUAGACUUAAC